rnacentral:rRNA from 1 species
GUAAGGAAUAUUGGGCAAUGGAGGCAACUCUGACCCAGCCAUGCCGCGUGCAGGAAGACGGCCCUACGGGUUGUAAACUGCUUUUAAUAGGGAGUAAGGUUAGUUACGUGUAACUAAUUGCAAGUACCUAUAGAAUAAGGAUCGGCUAACUCCGUGCCAGCAGCCGCGGUAAUACGGAGGAUCCAAGCGUUAUCCGGAUUUAUUGGGUUUAAAGGGUGCGCAGGCGGACUAAUAAGUCAGUGGUGAAAUCUACAUGCUUAACAUGUAUCGUGCCAUUGAUACUGUUGGACUAGUAUGCAAAUGACGUAGCUGGAAUGUGUUAUGUAGCGGUGAAAUGCUUAGAUAUAACACAGAACACCGAUCGUGAAGACAGGUUACGAAUUUGUAAUAGACGCUCAGGCACGAAAGCGUGGGGAUCAAACAGGAUUAGAAACCCCAGUAGUCC